CCUACGGGAGGCAGCAGUGGGGAAUAUUGGACAAUGGGCGAAAGCCUGAUCCAGCCAUGCCGCGUGUGUGAAGAAGGCCUUCGGGUUGUAAAGCACUUUCAGUGGGGAAGAAAGCCUUGGGGCUAAUACCCUCGAGGAAGGACAUCACCCACAGAAGAAGCACCGGCUAACUCCGUGCCAGCAGCCGCGGUAAUACGGAGGGUGCGAGCGUUAAUCGGAAUUACUGGGCGUAAAGCGCGCGUAGGCGGUCUGAUAAGCCGGUUGUGAAAGCCCCGGGCUCAACCUGGGAACGGCAUCCGGAACUGUCAGGCUAGAGUGCAGGAGAGGAAGGUAGAAUUCCCGGUGUAGCGGUGAAAUGCGUAGAGAUCGGGAGGAAUACCAGUGGCGAAGGCGGCCUUCUGGACUGACACUGACGCUGAGGUGCGAAAGCGUGGGUAGCAAACAGGAUUAGAUACCUGGUAGUC
rnacentral:rRNA from 1 species